AAUCUUGCCAACGGUAGAACGGAUGUUCCGGGGAGGAGACUGUAAUGUGUCUCAGAAGGACAGAGGUGAUCAGGGAGUGUGUUUGCAACGUGGUCAGUUUGAAGGUUGCUUGUUGAAGGUGGUCAUGCAGUGUCUGUGCAACUGAAGACUGGGUGAAAUGAGCAGGUAUGAUGUAAAUGACAUGGGGAUUCUGACAAAGCCAACUAAAACAGACUGGAAAGAGAACGGCAGUUUUUCACUGAAGAUGAAGUUGCAAGAUUAGGCACAGUUAUUGGCUGUAGGUAUGCACUCCAAAGGAGACAAGGACUCAACUUAAACUAGUCAGUUAAGAGGCUGCCAGCAAUCCCCUGGAGAUGACGCCACAAUAUGUGAAAGAAUCAGCUGUAGGUAUGCACUCCAAAGGAGAUGAGGACUCGACUAAAACUAGUCUGUAAAGAGGCUGCCAGAAAUCCCCUGGCGAUGACGCCACAAUAUGUGAAAGAAUCAGCCUUUAACUCCAGGUAUACUGUAAAGGAUGUGUGGAUUCUGAAGAGCUACAACUAAAGGGACAGUAAUUCCCUGAAGAUGACGUUGCAAGAAUAUGCAUAUCAAUGAGAUCUUGAAAUCUGCAAGUGCCAUGGUGGAAUAAGUUCUGAGUCCAUGAAGACGUUGGUAUCGCCUUCAAUGUUAAAAAUGAGGCCUUACUCCAAGUGUCAUGGUGGAAUAAGUUCUGAGUCCAUGAAGAUGUUGGUAUCGCCUUCAAUGUUAAAAAUGAGUAAUUGAAGAUUGAAGCUGCAUUGCGAAUGGACCAAAAGGCUAUCUUUAGGCAUAUUUUAAAUGGGUUUUCUACAAUGUCUUCCUCUUAAUAAAUGAUGGUGGUUCUUUGGAAUGACCCCUCUGAUUGUAAAGGUGGAAACCUUGAGAAUGCUGUACAACAGUAUCUGUAAUUUAAUUUAGAUACAAAUAAAACUCUAGUCCAUAUCAAAUGAAUGAUUGUGAAGCUGAUUUCUUUGAUACAACUGUUUCAUUGGGUGUCUUGUGUGCAUUAGAUUUUAGUACAAUAGAACUGUACAAUUUAAACUAACCUUUGCUUCUCAUGUUGGGUUUCACAAAUCUAAAGUAUAUGAAUAUAGUCUAUACUGGGAAUGAUGUUUAUUAACCGUAUUUGUUCAUAAAUGAAGGGUAUUAACUUUACACUGCUGUGUCAAUGCAGUCUGACUGAUGCAACCUGUAACAGAUGCAGGAAAGGUCAGUUCUAUCCAUGUGUUUCUCAUCUCGGGCUGACUGUUUGUUUUUUAUCGGUAUGUUAUACAAUAUCCAUUGAUGGCUUGUGAUAUAUCCCUUUUGUCUAAGCUCCAGUUGGUACCCUUACCUUUUCAGCUUCACCCUUGUGCAAUAUGUUAAGGCACCUCGUGGAAGAGACAAUGUUGCACCACAGUUUUCAAAGUCUUUGAGCAGAAAAUAUUCAUUUAUGUAUGUAUGAGGUAGGCUUAUACAUCUAGUUUGGGAUACAGUUGGUGCCACCUAAUCAGGAUCCUGAUAAUCAGGAUUGCUGCUUAAAUGGGAUACAACUCUAGGAGAUGGUUCUUCCCAAUGCUAUCUCCGUCUUAAUUGGGACGCCACUUUGUUUAAUUGGGAUACAGUAUUUUCAAAUGAACGAAGAACGCGUUUCAGAGCAAGACAGAUCGUGUAGCACAGUGUGAUUAUGCUGUGAUUUGGGUAAACCAUGUUGAACUCUUGGAGGAGACUCCUCUGGUUUCUCAGGCUGCUGUUGCAAAGAAAGUUGGCGUGUCAACAUUGCGGGUACCUUGCCUUGUAAUAAGAUGUGAUUUCAUUCUUUUUCAUUUCAUGUAGAAAUAAAAACAGCAAUUUUUAAAUUGUUUAGGAAUAAAAAAAAAAAAACUUGUUCAACAUUUAA